rfam:Drosophila grimshawi strain TSC#15287-2541.00 scaffold_15245 genomic scaffold, whole genome shotgun sequence.
UGUACAUGGCAGUAGAGUUUCCAGUUGAAGUUGCCUGCUGGCAAACACUUUAUGCCCUGUUAGAGCACACCAAACGCCCAACUUACUACCAAUUUAGCGAUUGUUUCCUUUUGGGAAGUGCAAUGUGAAUGUUCGUUACGAUUUUCUAGACUAAAUCGCGACUGCUGAUAGUUGCAUACAAGC